GCCUAGGUAGCUUGAUGGGUAGGAGCGUCUGUCUGGUAAGCGCUAGGUCGCGGGUUCGAUUCCAGCCGAGGGCG
rfam:Asian citrus Psyllid, Diaphorina citri - Florida Strain, whole genome shotgun sequence.